rnacentral:lncRNA from 1 species
AAUAAUUUACCCAGAACCACCCUAACCCUACCUUCUUCCUCUUUUUAACCAAAAGAACCCUAGGCCUAAAACCUCACCACCUACCGUCAUCUCUUCUUCUUCAACCAAGACCACAUAAAAAAAUCUUAAUCCCUUAACACAAUACACAAUCGCCGAACCACUAGUAGCCGCCAUCUCAAAUCCACUCCAUUUCAUCAAAAAAUAACACCAGCAAUUACUUCCCUUAUCUCUUCGAGACCAACUGCUCACCACCGCCACCCAAGACCCGCCAGAAACCAACUAGACCAUCCUUUUCAUCACGACAAUAACCAGCCUGACUUCAUCCCAUCUACCUCAUCUCACUGUUGAGAUGAACUCGCUGGAAAAACACACCCCUGAACCCUAUCCCUCAUCUUCUUCAUCUUCCAUCUUCAACCACAAAACAACACCAGAAACCCCUUCUUCAACCGAACAGACCUAAGAUAAUGCUAAACCAGACAUUCUGCCACCAUCGCACCACUAUCUGACAACCUUUGAGGUCACAAGCACUCUUCAACACCACGACUAAAACACAUCCCGACAACCUUACUUCAGCCACGACGCACACACACGCACAAUAUCAAAAACAAUAGAGGCAGGGAGCGAUAAAACAAGUAGGACAGAAUCUAGGAGCGAAAGAAGAAAAUAAUUUACAGUUUAGUUCUUGAUUCAAGUUUUAUUUUCCAUUUUUAAAAGUCAAAAAAACAAAAAAAACACAAGGGUUCCAUUUCUUUCGCCUGAAUUUCUGCCUGAAAUGGAGUUUAUUUGAUUGAGCCGAGUUUGUUUGAGGUUGCGUUCAGAUUUCAUUUGUUGUUCGGUCCGUGUUUACUGUUUGCAGUUUGAUCAUCAUGUUCAAUUCCGAUUCAUUGGUCUGUUGCUUGGACAAUUUUCU